ensembl:lncRNA
CAUGUAUUAACACAGACUUUGCUACUCUCUUCAAAGUUGCUAAGAAUAAAAAGUCAAUAAUAAACCACAACACCAAUAUAAAGAUUUAAACUUUAGAUAAUCUCUCAUGUGAAUUUUCAUUUCAGAAAAAAGGCGAGCUGCGCCCCGGCUGACCCGGAUGGAGGCUUCAAUUAUACACGAGAGGUACCGCAGGCUCUGGGCGCUACAGCCCCCGCCGGGCGAAGGUGACCGGCGGGCGGUCAAGGCCCAUGUCCGGGAGGAGCUCGCAAAUGGGCGUGUCCCAGUAAGUAUUUCUCCAGGGUUUUUUUUUUUCCCCCCCAGCAAAAGUAAGUACCUAUGCAGUAGUAGCACCCAGAUUUUCAGCAUAAUGGUAUUUUGCAUUGCAUUGCUGUUUUGAUGCAGUUUUCUGUCUUCAUUUAUGUUGGAAGUGAUAAGUAGAGCCGUACGUUUUAAUUUUUUUCAGAAAUCUCUCAGACCGUGGUAUAUCAUGUUUAGGUGGAAA